rnacentral:lncRNA from 1 species
AGCCAUUUUCCCUUUUUUUUAAACCUUGAUUGAAUACAUUCAUUCAAUCUUCCCAUGUCAUGUACUAAUCAAUCAUUCAAACCAAAUUCAACUUUGCCAUUCCUUUUAGAGAAUUACAAGAUUUUAAUCUAAAUUCCAUUAACCAUCUUUAAUUCCAUUUUCAUACUUUAAGCCAUUUUAAAAUCAAUACAUGCUCAUCUUUUAAUCCAAUUUCCAUUUUCAAGUCAUCCUUUCAUUCAUGUUUGUUCAACAUGAGUCAAUUUCAAUUCACCAAUUAAUGCAUUGAUUCAAUUUCCAUAUACACAUUACAUUUAAUUUCCAUUAUUUCAAUACAACAUAAGCCAAUUACAAAGCACAAGCUAAUUCAAGCUUUAAAAGCCUAUCCGAUGUCCAAUUCAAGCCAGCCCAAGCUUAAUCCAUGCAUUGACCUGCAUCAUACAUUUCCCCUUCAUUUUUCCAAACGGAAGUCAAUUUAAUAUACCUGCAAGUGAAACAUGAACCAACUCAGAAAAUAUUCAUUUCAACAAUUACAAUUUCCUAACCAAUCCUCAUAACAGAAAAGCAGUUCGACAGGAGCUUCAGGAAGAAUAUGUCACAACAACGACAAGUAAAACAAGAGCAACAACGAUUCUUCAACGACGACUACCCCUCGAAUUGAUCAAAACAACGCACAUAAGCAGAAGCUGUAAAGAUCGAAAUAGAAGAAGUGGAGAAAACCAAAGCAGAAGCAUAAUCGCGUCAAAAACUUCCGGUAGGUAUUUCUUCCUUCAAAUCCCUAUAGUCCGAAUUGAUUCCGAUCAUAAUCGUGUUCCGGUUUCGGUGAUGGAGGGCGAAGUCGAUUCCUCAAACCCUUCGAUCGGUCUUGAGGGGGUCGGCGCGUGCAAAUGAGGGAUUCGGAUCCCGACGAAGAUGAAUGAGGUGUAUCGGACAUGUGCAAGCGGAUUGUUGUUCGUCUGCGAAGUUCUCUUCAGAAUGAGUUUUGGUUCCCUUGAUGGCUAUGGAACCCGAUCCUUGGGUAUUUGAGAACUUGGGCCUUUGGGCCCAUGAAAUUUGUGAUCUUCAUACUCCCCAAAUCAUUCAUACCCCCCUGGCCCAUUAAUUCAACUCAUGUCCAUCCUAAUCAAUUAAUCUUUAGAUUAAUUGUUAAUUAAUUUUAUUUUAAUCAUGAUUAUGUUUCGUUAAUCCAGGUUAAAAUUACAAAAGUUCUUGAUUUUAAGAAUUAAAAAUCAAUUCAUUCUUUUAGUGUGUAAUUAGCUUAAUUCAAGUUUAAUUGGGAUUAGAUAAUUAGGUUUAAUCAAGUUUUAGAUUAGGUUAAGUUUUUCUUAGUUUUUUCAGAAUUUGAUUCCAUAGUUGAUUAACCAUGUCUUGAUUUGAUAUCACUUGCCAUUAGGUUUUGGUUAAUCCAUGCUUGUUGAUUUAAUUCAAGAUUAAAUAAUAUGGCUAAUUGUUGACUUUUACCAUGAUUCGAUUUUAGGUUUAAUUUCCAUUUUGAUCCGUAUAUCGUAUUUUGAUUUGUAUGAUCAUGUAGAUUAGAAUUCAAUUCUUGAUAUAGAUUGGUAAAUUCCCAUUUAAGUUUGAGCCUAAUUAAUGUUUAGGUAGAUUUUAACCUUUAGAAUUAAUGUUCACUUUAAUUGACUUUUAAUUGAUUCAUUUGGUUUGUGGUCAUAUUGAUAAAUUGAAAUUCCCAUUUCAAUUUAGGUAAUGAAUGUCUUAUAUGCUUAAUUUCAUUUGCCAUGAUCACAUAAUAGAUCUUUGAUUACUUUUCAUUGAUUAAUCCAUUCCCUUUUGAAUCGAUUUUAACCAUUGAAUGUGCUUACAUAUUGUCGCAUCAUUUGAUUUAAUCUCAUGCUAACCCGUUUGUUGUUUUGUGUCCAUGUGUGACUUUGAGAUUCAAACUCACUCUUAGCUAGUCAUGCUCCUAACCAUUUCAUUCUCAUUCAAUAGUCUUGUAUUGUUUGAAGUAUCAUGCCAUUAUAUGCUUUAGGCAUGGUACAUAGUUUGAUAGUUUGUAACUUGUAUAAUUCUUUCCAUUCCCACGUAUGUUGUAUUGUGUGGAUCCAUCCCCCCAUUGUGGGCCAAAUGUUCCCCCACCCCAUAGUCAUGUAAUAGCUUAGAUUUAUUAUUUUCUAGUUAAUUCACCAUGCAUGAUAAUCAAAAAGAUAAAAUACAAAACGAUAAAUAAAGUAUUUCAAAAGAAACAAAAGGUAUUUGAUUCAACGUCAAGUCGUUUUCCAAAUAAAACUCACACCAUUGCAAUGUGAAUACUUGAUUCAACGCCAAGUAUUCCCCAUCCAUUCCAUGAUCCAUUAUUCACAUCUCUUCUCCAUUAUUUUCUCAAACUCAUUCUAUAUCCCACCUCCAUUCUUCACUCACACGUUUCAUAAUAAAUUCAAACACUUGAUCCAACAUCAAGUUUCUUUUUCAAAACCAUUUUCAUAACAAAUUGGAAUGCAAAAUGGGGUGUACGUGCUUGUACACAACAUUCAAGUACUUGGGUUGUCGGUCGUACCUAGCCUGAGGACCCGACACUUGACUUUACCCCUUAAAACAUCUAAUGAUUCAAACAAGUUAGAUCUAGGUGCU